UACGUAGGUGACGAGCGUUAUCCGGAAUUACUGGGCGUAAAGCGCACGCAGGUGGUUUUGUAAGUCUGGCGUGAAAUCUCCUGGCUUAACCAGGAGCGGUCGCUGGAAACUACAAGACUUGAGGCGGUGAGAGGGGUGCAGAAUUCCCGGUGUAGUGGUGGAAUGCGUAGAGAUCGGGAGGAAUACCAGUGGCGAAGGCGGCACCCUGGCACCGAACUGACGCUCAGGUGCGAAAGCGUGGGGAGUGAACGGG
rnacentral:rRNA from 1 species